GGCAGGGUAGCUCAGCUGGUUAGAGCAUUGCAUUCAUAACGCAAAGGUCGUGGGUUCAAGUCCCACUCCUGCUA
rnacentral:tRNA from 1 species